GGAUGUGAUCAUACUAGCACUAAAGCACCGGACCCUAUCAGAACUCCGAAGUGAAGUGUUCUUGGGCACUAGUAGUACUAGGAUGGGUGACCUCCUGCGAAGUCCUUGUCGGUGUCAAAAC
rfam:Triticum urartu cultivar G1812 contig1160098, whole genome shotgun sequence.